rnacentral:rRNA from 1 species
UUGGUCAGGUGAGUGGCGAACGGGUGAGUAACACGUGGGUAACCUACCUCAUAGUGGGGGAUAACAGUCGGAAACGACUGCUAAUACCGCAUAGGACAUGGGAUCACAUGAUUCCGUGAGGAAAGGUGGCGCAAGCUAUCGCUAAGAGAUGGACCCGCGGUGCAUUAGCUAGUUGGUAGGGUAAGGGCCUACCAAGGCGAUGAUGCAUAGCCGACCUGAGAGGGUGAUCGGCCACAUUGGGACUGAGACACGGCCCAAACUCCUACGGGAGGCAGCAGUAGGGAAUCUUCCGCAAUGGACGCAAGUCUGACGGAGCAACGCCGCGUGAGUGAAGAAGGUCUUCGGAUCGUAAAGCUCUGUUGUUAGAGAAGAACAGCGCAUAGAGUAACUGUUAUGCGUGUGACGGUAUCUAACCAGAAAGCCACGGCUAACUACGUGCCAGCAGCCGCGGUAAUACGUAGGUGGCGAGCGUUGUCCGGAUUUAUUGGGCGUAAAGGGAGUGUAGGCGGUCUUUUAAGUCUGAUGUGAAAGCCCACGGCUCAACCGUGGAGGGUCAUUGGAAACUGGGAGACUUGAGUGCAGAAGAAGAGAGCGGAAUUCCAUGUGUAGCGGUGAAAUGCGUAGAUAUAUGGAGGAACACCAGUGGCGAAGGCGGCUCUCUGGUCUGUAACUGACGCUGAGGCUCGAAAGCGUGGGGAGCAAACAGGAUUAGAUACCCUGGUAGUCCACGCCGUAAACGAUGAGUGCUAAGUGUUGGA